GUGAGGAAUAUUGGUCAAUGGGCGCAAGCCUGAACCAGCCAUCCCGCGUGAAGGAAGAAGGCCCUACGGGUUGUAAACUUCUUUUCUGUUUGAAGAAUAAGCUUGUCGAGACAAGUGAUGCCGGUAGGACAGGAAUAAGCAUCGGCUAACUCCGUGCCAGCAGCCGCGGUAAUACGGAGGAUGCAAGCGUUAUCCGGAUUUAUUGGGUUUAAAGGGUGCGCAGGUGGUUGAAUAAGUAAGUGGUGAAAGUCUGUCGCUUAACGUUAGGAUUGCCAUUGAUACGGUUUGACUUGAAUAUGGAUGAGGUAGGCGGAAUGUGUAGUGUAGCGGUGAAAUACUUAGAUAUUACACAGAACACCGAUUGCGAAGGCAGCUUACUAAUCCAUUAUUGACGCUGAGGCACGAAAGCGUGGGGAUCAAACAGGAUUAGAAACCCGUGUAGUCC
rnacentral:rRNA from 1 species